rnacentral:rRNA from 1 species
UGAGAAUGUGCCUUCGGGAACCGUGAGACAGGUGCUGCAUGGCUGUCGUCAGCUCGUGUUGUGAAAUGUUGGGUUAAGUCCCGCAACGAGCGCAACCCUUAUCCUUUGUUGCCAGCGGUCCGGCCGGGAACUCAAAGGAGACUGCCAGUGAUAAACUGGAGGAAGGUGGGGAUGACGUCAAGUCAUCAUGGCCCUUACGACCAGGGCUACACACGUGCUACAAUGGCGCAUACAAAGAGAAGCGACCUCGCGAGAGCAAGCGGACCUCAUAAAGUGCGUCGUAGUCCGGAUUGGAGUCUGCAACUCGACUCCAUGAAGUCGGAAUCGCUAGUAAUCGUGGAUCAGAAUGCCACGGUGAAUACGUUCCCGGGCCUUGUACACACCGCCCGUCACACCAUGGGAGUGGGUUGCAAAAGAAGUAGGUAGCUUAACCUUCGGGAGGGCGCUUACCACUUUGUGAUUCAUGACUGGGGUGAAGUCGUAACAAGGUAACCGUAGGGGAACCUGCGGUUGGAUCACCUCCUUACCUUAAAGAA